GCCCCCGAGCGGCGGCUACGGGCAGCAGGGACACUACGGAGCCGCCUCCUCCAACAGCUACGGGCAGGAGGGCGGCUCGCUGAGCUCGGGCGGGUACCAGGAGCCCGGCGGCGGCUACGGAGCCGCGGCGCCGAGCGAGCGCAGCCGCGGGCGCGGCGCCUUCGGCACCCGCGGCGGCUUCGAGCGCGGCGCCCGCGGCGCCCGCGGCACCCGCGGCGGCAACAUGGGGUGAGUGAGGGGGAAAAUGGGGUGAGAAACGGGGAAAA